rnacentral:rRNA from 1 species
GAUGAACGCUAGCGGCAGGCUUAAUACAUGCAAGUCAAGGGGGUAGCAAUACAACCGGCGCACGGGUGAGUAGCGCGUACACAACAUACCAUAUACUGGAGUAUAGCUUUGGGAAACUGAAGGUAAUCCUCCAUAACAUUGCGAGAGGGCAUCUGAUUGCAAUUAAAGUUUCGGCGGUAUAUGAUUGGUGUGCGUUUGAUUAGCUAGUUGGUAGGGUAACGGCCUACCAAGGCGACGAUCAAUAGCUGGCGUGAGAGCGCGACCAGCCACACUGGAACUGAGACACGGUCCAGACUCCUACGGGAGGCAGCAGUAGGGAAUAUUGGACAAUGGAGGAAACUCUGAUCCAGCCAUGCCGCGUGAUAGAUGAAGGCCCUCUGGGUUGUAAAUAUCUUUUAUCUGGGAAGAAACACUCCUAUUCUUAGGAACUUGACGGUACCAGAGGAAUAAGCACCGGCUAACUCCGUGCCAGCAGCCGCGGUAAAGUAG